GUUAUAGUAGUUUAAUAAAACAUUAGCUUGUGACGCUAAAAAUGGAACUUAUCCCCUAUAAC
rnacentral:tRNA from 1 species